GCCUAACACUACGAUUUUACCUUAAAAAAUGCAACCGUGAAGAGUGAUAUAAUUAAUGUGUAACGCAAAGAUUAUACCUUAGAAAGGCACCCAAAAAAGCAACUCCAAAGCGGAACGUGAGGCUACCGUCGCACAACCAUAUAUAGUAGCUACAAGCUGCGCAGGCCCAAAUCAUAGAAAUGGGCCUUUCUUUGGUUGGGCUUAAUAACCAAGAAAAAUUUAAAUAGUUAGUUCAAAUGUUGGUGGAAGUCCGCUCUGGGAGAGCAUAGUCAGGCAUGAUGAAGAUGAAGAUGAAGAUGAAGAUGAAGACGAAGAUGAAAAUGAGAUAGAACCAGUUGUCUAACGUUUUUUAUUAAUAUUAAUAUUGUUAUUAAUAUAUUAUGCUCUCCACAAUUGCUCGAAUAUUGGGCUUUAUUAAAGGCCCACCAAUAAGGCCCAAUUUCGCUAAAACCCAUAUCCAACUCCGUGGCAUCCGGCAACACCACCGACCACCGGUCACCCCUUUCUCGGAGAAAUUGAGGAUUUCUUAAAAACUAUGAAAAAAAAUUCAUAUUCAACAGGUCAAAUGCUUCGAACAAAAGUAAUAUGGGUAACCCAAAUAUGUUUUUUACA